CCUACGGGUGGCAGCAGUGAGGAAUAUUGGUCAAUGGACGAGAGUCUGAACCAGCCAAGUAGCGUGAAGGAUGACUGCCCUAUGGGUUGUAAACUUCUUUUAUAUGGGAAUAAAAUGUUCCACGUGUGGGAUUUUGUAUGUACCAUAUGAAUAAGGCUCGGCUAACUCCGUGCCAGCAGCCGCGGUAAUACGGAGGAUCCGAGCGUUAUCCGGAUUUAUUGGGUUUAAAGGGAGCGUAGGUGGAUUGUUAAGUCAGUUGUGAAAGUUUGCGGCUCAACCGUAAAAUUGCAGUUGAAACUGGCAGUCUUGAGUACAGUAGAGGUGAGCGGAAUUCGUGGUGUAGCGGUGAAAUGCUUAGAUAUCACGAAGAACUCCGAUUGCGAAGGCAGUUCACUGGACUGCAACUGACACUGAGGCUCGAAAGUGUGGGUAUCAAACAGGAUUAGAUACCCUUGUAGUC
rnacentral:rRNA from 1 species